rnacentral:rRNA from 1 species
UACGCAGGGUGCAAGCGUUGUCCGGAUUUAUUGGGCGUAAAGAGCUCGUAGGUGGUUUGUUGCGUCGGUUGUGAAAACCCGGGGCUUAACUCCGGGCCUGCAGUCGAUACGGGCAGACUAGAGUUCGGCAGGGGAGACUGGAAUUCCUGGUGUAGCGGUGAAAUGCGCAGAUAUCAGGAGGAACACCGGUGGCGAAGGCGGUUCUCUGGGCAUUACCUGACGCUGAGGAGCGAAAGUGUGGGGAGCGAACAGG